GAUAAACCGAUAAGAAAUGUUGACAUAAUAGGUUAGUAUCUUAAGCAGCCUCCUUGAUCGUUGUUUUGACCCAGUGCGCUUAAUAAUACGAAAAGCAACUGCGAAAGCCGGAAAGAUACGCCUGACUUAUCGAUUAUCAAUAUUCAAUUCGUCGGGGUUUGUAUCAUUAAAAUUAUAACAUAAGUACUAAAGAGUAAACACUGCAGACACUGUGGCUCACGGAGAAUUUUCCGAUUUCCCGGUAGACCUAUCGGGGAUUCUAGACCUUGGUCGAAACAAUCGUGCCGUGAAUUAUUUAAUAUAACAGUAACGCCGUUGAAGUUAAGGAAGUUCGUCGUCGUACGUAUAUAAAAGUGGACUAAGACGAACGGGAGGAAAUAGAAUCGAAUAUUAAGUCGCAUAAUUGUUUUUAGAAUG